UAUUGCCAUUAAUUAGCUAUUAUUGUGAGUAAUUAAUUUACUUUUUAAUUAAAGGUAAAACAAGCUGUAUCCGCUGUAAAAAGGUUACCAACAAAGAGCAGUCCAGUAAGAAACAUAGUAAUCCUAAAAUACAUUUUAGAUACUGUGCAAAUACAGUAUCACAGCAAAAUCUAAAAUACCAUGUAGUUACUGGAGCCUAAACAGAAACAUAUGUUAGAAAACUGUUGACUGACCACUGUGCUGAAAGUUUCUGUAGACAUAUUCUGGUAAUAUCACAAAAUACAAUCAAGAUAAAAUAAUGUGAACACGUCAAGCUUAAAUAACUUGAAGAAUAUUAAGUGAAAAUAUUAGGGGGACGUUUGGAAAAAAAAGCAUCUAAAUAUAAUGUAAAAUAUGAACUUUGCAUAUCAAAACAGCAGAUACAUGGUAAACUUGUGUAUUUGCCUAUUAUGCCAAUGAAAUCUCCCUCAUAAGCCUGUAAAAUAUUGCAUUUAUGAGAAUUACUAGCGUGACAAUAAGAGAAAACUCCUCUACUGUCUCUCCUUUGGUCUUGUAUCAAUCUGUGUCAUCUACUUUUAUUGCAGUUAGCAGUUUUCUAUAUUUCCCAUAAUGCUCAAAAAAUGUCUUUCGAACUCCACUGUGCGUUUCUGCUUUUAUUUCCUGUGAAAUAGUUUCUGUUUUUGUGAGAGUUUUCCCUUUAAAGAUAGAUGGUGUCAUAUGUUGUUCAAUUUACAAAGCCCCCUGGGGAUAUAUGAUUAAAAUGUUGAACUAUGCCUCUAAAGAAGAUAUUCAGUUAACAGAUAAAAUCUUAAAACGAUGUACUAAUACCACUAUUUAUUUGGGUUAGCUGUUAAUUAACCUAUUUAAUUCACUUUUUUGGUCUGAAUUUUGAUUUGUUUUAUAAAUGUUGGCCAAAUAAAUGCUCAUCAUCUAUCAAUCAUCAUCCUUUUGAGGCUCCUUAAUGUCCUCCAUAAUUUCUGGUCAUAUAUCAGUAAAAGGCUAAGAAGACACCAGUAAAGGGCUCUGAGGCUCAUGAGAGUCAGCAGACUGCAGCUCCCCCUGUGACCUGUCACACACACACACACACACACACACACACACACACACACACACAGUGAUCAAUUAUCAUAACAGAGAGCUUAUUUACUGGUUGUAUCUAUAUGUAUGAAGUCAUCUGAUGGAGGGCUGAUGCUCACAAAGCUCUUCGUUAAUGGUUGCUGCUGUUUAAUGAAACCCAUGAAGGACCGUGCAAUUACUUUAAUGUGUAGUUUAAUAUAUUCUUUUUUUUUUUUUUGGUUUUUCUUCUUUACUUUAAAUUUGUCCUCUUCUGGUUAUUUUGUCUUUGCUUUCCUCUUAAUUCUGGCAUUGUUUGUCUAGUUUUAUUUUCAUCCUUUCCCCUUUUCUUUCCUUUGUUUGCUUUUUCUUUAAUUUUUUUGUUCCCAAUGUCCUGUCUUCCUUCCUUUAUUGCUUUUGUCUGUUUCUUUUUCCGUCCUUCUUUCUUUCUCCAUUUAUUUUUCCUUCCUUCCUUGUCUUCCUGCCUUUACUGCUUUUGUCCAUUUCUUCCUCCCUCCCUCCUUCCUUCCUUCCGCCUUUCCUUCCAAGUUAUUGAGAAGAAUGCAGAUCCAGAGGAAAUGCUGCUCAGUUUUCUGAGAAGAGGUUGGUUUUAUUCUGAUCUAUUCUUUCAAAAUAAAAUCUGAAACUACUGUUAUCUCAUAAGUUGUCGUCAUUUCAGGUUAUGAAUAAAAUUAGGGUAUUGUUGUAGGGCAUUAGCUUAGAUUUUCUCAUGUAUGUUUAACAAAUAAAUAAAAAGGUGGAAUAUCAUUUAUAUACAUUUUGAUUUAUUUAAAUAGUAAUAGUAAAACCCAACCUAUAAAACAAAUCUAAAGAUGUAUUAUUUAAACUUACUGUUUAUUGAGUUUAAUUAAAAAUAUAAUAUAAAGCAUCUAAGAAAAUAUGGGUUUAAUUAAAGCUGCAAUAGAGUUUCUCUGUUCUCUCUGUGCUGUGGGCGUGGCACUCCCUCUCUCAUCACCCAACACACCUGCGCCAAGCCGCACACCUGCGACUCAUCCACUAAUCAAGCGCUGCAGCGUAUCAACCCCGGCCUUUUCCUUCCACUCAUUGCCAGCUCGUUGUUUCAACCCGUGUGGUAGUUCACGUCCCCGGCUCCUAGACCAUUUGUUCUAGUAGCUUUUCUCGCUUGUGCUAACCUUGCUCUCCUUGUGCUCAGGAUCACUGCCUUCCUGCCUGUCAUGCUUGCUUUGUCUCAGCCACACGCACCUCCGGACUUGGACCUCGGUCAGUCCUCAUACCCCUCGGUCUCUGUCCUCUGGUUCCCUUCCCUCAACCCCAUCAAGUCUCUGGAGAACUGUACAAUAAACUCCUUACCUCUCUGAGUCUGCAUUUGUGAAUCGCGACAAGGUGACUUGUAUGAAUGAACUAUUAUCUACAUAUAAUGACCAGUCUGUCCUCUCCUGUCCACCAGUUGGUCUGACUGGUACUAAGUACGGCUGUGGAGGUGGAAGGAUGUGGAGCCUGAACUGUCAUGGUGUCCAGAUACGACCACAACCAGGAGAGAGUUCUUUAUCACUUUGUGCCUUCGAAACGAGAUCAGUUUGCAUGUUUAUAUGCUGUGACGUUCCUUGAUUUGUGAGGGGAGUCCUAAAAAUAAAGCUUUUCACUAGCCUAGUUAUACGUCAGUUUAUUAAUAUAUAACUAUGAUUUUAUCAGCUUUCUAUUUUGAUUUUAAACAUUUCAGUAAACCUAGCUGUAAACUAGGCUUUUUAUUUGUUUUCUAGCAGUAAAAAUUAUCAGAUUUUUAUAUAAAUAUCUUCGAUAGUUUUCGGUUUAAACUUUGAGGUUGCAAAAAUCAAAUAGGAGUGUUCUAUCCAUGACCUUUGAACCAUGCAGAUGCUAUACUGUAUUAUAUAUAUAUAUAUAUAUAUAUAUAUAUAUAUAUAUAAUGUAAUAUAUAUAUAAUGUAUUAAUCAUGAAUUUUAUCUUGAAACAGAAACUGCAUAUAAUUGCAUGGCUAUCAUCAUCUCAACUUGGGGUUUAGAUUUGACUCACAUGCAGCGUGAAAACACGGUUUGGAUUGUAACCUACAGUGUGUGUGGUACAAAUCUAUUUUUACACUUUCACUGAGCCUGUUUGUCCUCACAACAACUGAACCGAUGCUCAACAGAAUCUAACAAAGACUCCUGUCACUGAAGCAUUUAUUUAUCUGAUCAAACAAAUCAGCUGUCAGACUGGUUUGUCACAUUUGUCCACAGCUCUUAUCAGAGGCCCAGCCCUGUGCUGACCCGGUGGGUCGUCCCAGCAUGCAUCAGUCUGCCUUCCAGCAAGCCACAGGUGAAGCAAAGUACUACGACGACCUGCCGCUGGUCCAGGGAGAGCUCUUCAUCUUCAUGGUGACGAGCACCAGAGUCCAUGCCAAAAUCAUUCAAGUAGCAUUCUAUAUCUACGAGUCAAAGAUUUAGUGCCCCCCCUGCUGGCCAUAUCCAAGGACUACAACCCAAACAGUGGCCUUAAACCAUCACUCGCUAGGCUAUAGUUGUUAAUUCAGUUUAGUCAUUUUCUCUGUCUUAUUAAGUUAUGUCAACACAUACAAAACAGCCCUUCUUUUCCUUUAUCACCUGGUCUAACCAUCAGUGUUGUGUCUCUCUUCAUAAACCAGUAAAAUCGACCCGUCAGAGGCCCUUAAGAUGCCCGGUGUGGUCACUUUUGUCUCUGCUGGAGAUGUUCCUGGGGCCAACCGCAGACUCUGGCUCAAUAACCCCGAGCAACUGUUUGCUGAAGAAGAGGUGCUUUGCGUCAGUCAGAUCACCGGUGCAGUGGUGGCAGAGAGCAGGCAACAGGCCAGGAGAGCAGCUCAGAAAGUCCGGGUCACCUACCAGGACCUCCAGCCUGUCUUCUUCACUAUAGAGGAUGCCAUAAAGCAAGUCUUACUUUGAACCCAAGCGGAAGGUGGAGAGGGGUGACGUGGACGAAGCCUUAAAGAAUGCUCAACAUAUUCUGGAGGAUGAGAUCUAUAUGGGCGGUCAAGAGCAUUUCUACAUGGAGACUCAGGGACUGAUCGCUGUUCCCAAAGGAGAAAAUGAAGAGAUGGAUUUGUUUGUGGCUACUCAGCACCCCGCCUUCACUCAGGAACUCGUCGGCAUAGCGCUGGGCAUCGACUGCAACAAGAUCACCUGCCAUGUGAAGAGGCUGGGCGGAGGCUUCGGAGGCAAAGUCAUGAAGAUCGCUUGCCUCUCUGCCAUCACUGCUGCGACAGCAACUCAUUACAUGGAACAAAAAAUGCUCUCAGAGUAAACAAAGAUAAUGUGAUUUUCAGGAAAUAUCAGUAAUUUGUAAAAUAUGGUUUUAUUUGUAAGAACUGGCAGGGCCAUAAGCUGCUGUCUGCAGCGAGGAGAUGACAUGCUGAUCACCAGCGGCAGACCCCCCUUCCUUGGAAAGUACAAGAUUAAUGAAGCUUUCUUCCAGAAGAUAAGUUUAUCUGCAACUGGAUUCUUUAUGGGACCAACCACCGAUGUUGACUGGGAGAAAGGUGAAGGUCAAGCGUACUCUUACUUCACCUUCGGCGCCUGCUGCUCAGAAGUAGAGAUCGACUGUCUCACUGGGGAUCACAAGAACAUCCGGACAUCGUGAUGGAUGUUGGGAAAAGUAUCAAUCCUGCUUUGGACAUUGGACAGGUGGAGGGAGGUUUCGUCCAGGGCGUCGGCCUGUACACCAUCGAGGAGUUGCAGUUCUCCCCAGACGGAGUCCUGAUGACAAGAGGACCGUCUCAGUACAAGGUCCCAGCGACAUCCCAGCUGAGCUCAACGUUCAUCUGCUCGCUAAUGCAGAAAACCCCCACGCCAUCUACCUGUCCAAGGGUAUCGGCGAGCCUCCGGUCUUCUUCGGCUCCACCAUUUUCUUUGCCAUCAAGGCGGCCAUCGCAGCAGCACGCAAAGAGAGAGGACUGGGGGACACUUUCCCUCUGAGCUCGCCUGCAACAGCUGAGAAGAUCCGCAUGGCCAGUCAGGACCACUUCACUAAAACGGCCUCAUCUCCAACGGAUGGGACAGCGACCCCGUGGUGCAUCGACGUGUGAUCAGCCUCAGUCCACAAGGAGACAAAUCUGCGUUAGUUUACAGACUGCUUAGUAUGGCUGUACUGUGACAUCUUAGUUCUUUGUACAGAAGAUAUGAUCAUCAGUGAGAGUCUGUCAUGUACUCGUACAUAAGUAGUGUUCUUUCUUUCUGUGGUUGUGUGCUGCUACUGGAUGAAUAUAGAGGAAACACUAGGUUUAUUUAAUGUAUUUAAUAACUGUUUAAUCGUUUAUUCUUCUGCUAUUGAAAUAGUGAUACUGUAGGAUAAGAGCACAUUCAUUUCACAUUACACACUGUUACAAAUGAAAAUACAUGUAAAAAAAAAAAAGUUAUAGAGUAUAUAUUUUAUAUACAC